GCUGAAACUCGCCUACAUGAAGCUGGAGUUACUAGUAAUCGCAGAUCAGAAUGCUGCGUUGAAUGCGUUCCCGGGUCUUGUACACACCGCCCGUCACACCACGGGAGUUGGAGACGCCCGAAGCCGAUUAUCUAACCUUUUGGAAGAAGGCGUCGAAGGUGGAAUCAAUAACUGGGGUGAAGUCGUAACAAGGUAGCCGUAUCGGAAGGUGCGGCUGGAUCACCUCCUUUCUACGGA
rnacentral:rRNA from 1 species